UCGGGCUGGCAUAUUUUGCAAGCUAGCAGUGUGCUGAGAGCUGGGGAGAUGCAAGCAGUUGUGUAUCAGCACCCUUUCUGUUUAGCAGAUGAGAAAAAAGAGCAAAUAUCCUGCCCCCCGUUUAAAACGUGUUGCGAAGUACCCGGGCUGGGCUUGCAAGGAAUAGAAGGCUCAUUGAAAACUCAUAGAUAAUUAAAAAAUGUGGGAGCCUGUUUGUAUGACAGAUCUAUCUGGUAGUAUGGCUGUGGGGGAGGAAAGGUGACCUGGAGAGUUCCUCUCUCCAGUGGCCUCCUGUCUCUAGGUGAAUGGCUGUAAUUUUCCCCUCAUGCUUCUACGCACUCCCCACGGUCAGCAGCACAUCCCUCUCAGCUUGUUUUGCAAGGUCUGCAGGGCACUGAGGUCUGGAGUUGGGGUCAGGGGGCAGGAAGGGUUAAAAGCGUAUUGCACCACUUUUUUCUGGACUGUGAUACGUGGGCAAGGAGGCUGGUGGAGGGCUGUGGGUGCAGCAGAGCAUCUCACCCAGCUGCCUGCCCUCUGUAGAUGCCGAGUGCACAGGGAUCAAGAACAAGUUCAUGGCCGCUCGCUCUCGCCUCCCUGUCACAUUCAUCACCACCCCCAAAGACCAGUGGAGCUCGGUGUGGACCCGAGAGCGACCCUCGGCACAGAUCCUGCAGCGCCUUCUCGUGCUGGCCUCAGAGUCUCUCCGAGCCCUGGAGGGAGCAGCUCAUGGACCUGCUUGGCAGACAGGACGUGAAGGUAAUUACUUGGGGCCCCACACGAGGGUUUUUUGGGUUCUGGCAAAGCAGAUGGGAGAGGAGCUGGACAUGGAGGCGCUCCAUCAUGUGGGCUGGAGGCUGCCCCCUUCAGUCCUGCCCCUGUGCGCAGGCAUGCGUGCAUGACCUGAGCUCCCAAACUCCUGCCCAGUUGCAAUUUAAUAAAUCUUGUCUCUCCUCGCCUCCUGCAGUGGGGGAACGGCUCAUCCUGGCUCCCAGCCUGCCUUGGGGCUUUGCAAAACAUCAUUUGCUUCUCCCUAGCCUUCACCCUUCUAGUUUAACCUGAGCUGAGCUCAGCAACAGGUGCUGUU
rnacentral:lncRNA from 1 species